GACGAACGCUGGCGGCGUGCUUAACACAUGCAAGUCGAGCGGUAAGGCCCUUUCGGGGGUACACGAGCGGCGAACGGGUGAGUAACACGUGGGUGACCUGCCCUCAGCUCUGGGAUAAGCCUGGGAAACCGGGUCUAAUACCGGAUAUGACUCCAUGACGCAUGUUGUGGGGUGGAAAGCCUUGUGCGGCUGAGGAUGGGCCCGCGGCCUAUCAGCUUGUUGGUGGGGUGAUGGCCUACCAAGGCGACGACGGGUAGCCGGCCUGAGAGGGCGACCGGCCACACUGGGACUGAGACACGGCCCAGACUCCGUACGGGAGGGCAGCGAGUGGGGAAUCUUGCGCAAUGGGCGAAAGCCUGACGCAGCGACGCCGCGUGAGGGAUGAC
rnacentral:rRNA from 1 species